rnacentral:snoRNA from 1 species
GACGUGUGAUGAAUUUUUCCAUUACAUUCGCAGUUUCCACCAUAGACACUUCAUUGUGUUGGUGAUGGGACUUUUGUCCUUCCUUGGAUGUCUGAUGUC